rnacentral:rRNA from 1 species
CACGGGGGGCCUACGGGAGGCAGCAGUGGGGAAUAUUGCACAAUGGGGGAAACCCUGAUGCAGCCAUGCCGCGUGUGUGAAGAAGGCCUUCGGGUUGUAAAGCACUUUCAGUUGUGAGGAAAGUUUAGUAGUUAAUACCUGCUAGAUGUGACGUUAGCAACAGAAGAAGCACCGGCUAACUCCGUGCCAGCAGCCGCGGUAAUACGGAGGGUGCGAGCGUUAAUCGGAAUUACUGGGCGUAAAGCGCACGCAGGCGGUCUGUUAAGCUAGAUGUGAAAGCCCCGCGCUCAACGUGGGAGGGUCAUUUAGAACUGGCAGACUAGAGUCUUGGAGAGGGGAGUGGAAUUCCAGGUGUAGCGGUGAAAUGCGUAGAGAUCUGGAGGAACAUCAAUGGCGAAGGCAACUCCCUGGCCAAAGACUGACGCUCAUGUGCGAAAGUGUGGGUAGCGAACAGGAUUAGAUACCCUGGUAGUCCACACCGUAAACGCUGUCUACUAGCUGUUUGUGGAUUUAAUCCGUGAGUAGCGAAGCUAACGCGAUAAGUAGA